rnacentral:rRNA from 1 species
AGCUCCAAUAGCGUAUAUUAAAGUUGUUGCAGUUAAAAGCUCGUAGUCGGAUUUCAGGGCAGGGCGACCGGUCUGCCGAUGGGUAUGCACUGGUCGACUUGUCCUUCCUUCUGGAGACCGUGCCUACUCUUAACUGAGCGGGGACGGGAAACAGAUCGUUUACUUUGAAAAAAAUCAGAGUGUUUAAAGCAGGCCAAGAUUGCUCUUGCAUGGAUUAGCAUGGGAUAAUGAAAUAGGACUUUGGUGCUAUUUUGUUGGUUUCGAACACCGAAGUAAUGAUUAAUAGGGAUAGUCAGGGGCACUCGUAUUCCGUCGAGAGAGGUGAAAUUCUCAGACCAAUGGAAGACGAACUACUGCGAAAGCAUUUGCCAGGGAUGUUUUCA